UGGGGAAUUUUGGACAAUGGGCGAAAGCCUGAUCCAGCAAUGUCACGUGUGUGAAGAAGGCCUUCGGGUUGUAAAGCACUUUUGUCCGGAAAGAAAUCCUUGGCUCUAAUACAGUCGGGGAUGACGGUACCGGAAGAAUAAGCACCGGCUAACUACGUGCCAGCAGCCGCGGUAAUACGUAGGGUGCAAGCGUUAAUCGGAAUUACUGGGCGUAAAGCGUGCGCAGGCGGUUUGCUAAGACCGAUGUGAAAUCCCCGGGCUCAACCUGGGAACUGCAUUGGUGACUGGCAGGCUAGAGUAUGGCAGAGGGGGGUAGAAUUCCACGUGUAGCAGGUGAAAUGCGUAGAGAUGUGGAGGAAUACCGAUGGCGAAGGCAGCCCCCUGGGCCAAUACUGACGCUCAUGCACGAAAAGCGUGGGGAGCAAAACAGGAUUAGAUACCCUGGUAGUCCACGCCCUAAACGAUGUCAACUAGUUGUUGGGGAUUCAUUUCCUUAGUAACGUAGCUAACGCGUGAAGUUGACCGCCUGGGGAGUACGGUCGCAAGAUUAAAACUC
rnacentral:rRNA from 1 species